UAUAUACUCCCUCUGUCCGGAAAUACUUGUCAUCAAAAUGGAUAAAAGGGAUGUAUCUAGAUGUAUUUUAGUUUUAGAUACAUCCCUUUUUGUCCAUUUUGAUGACAAGUAUUUUCGGACGAAGGGAGUAUAAU
rnacentral:pre_miRNA from 1 species